rnacentral:rRNA from 1 species
GAUGAACGCUGGCGGCGUGCCUAAUACAUGCAAGUCGAGCGAACAGACUAGGAGCUUGCUCCUCUGACGUUAGCGGCGGACGGUUGAGUAACACGUUGUUAACCUACCUAUAAGACUGGGAUAACUUCGUUAAACCGGAGCUAAUUCCGGAUAAUAUAUUGAACCGCAUUGUUCAACAGUGAAAUACGGUUUUGCUGUCACUUAUAGAUGGAUCCGCGCCGCAUUAGCUAGUUGGUAAGGUAACGGCUUACCAAGGCAACGAUGCGUAGCCGACCUGAGAGGGUGAGCGGCCACACUGGAACUGAGACACGGUCCAGACUCCUACGGGAGGCAGCAGUAGGGAAUCUUCCGCAAUGGGAGAAAGCGUGAAGGAGCAACGCCGCGUGAGUGAUGAAGGUCUUCGGAUAGUAAAACUAUGUUAUUAGGGAAGAACAAAUGUGUAAGUAACUAUGCACGUCUUGACGGUACCUAAUCAGAAAGCCACGGCUAACUACGUG